rnacentral:lncRNA from 1 species
CGCUCUAUCUGUCCUCUCUGUCGGGUUCCAUGUUAUUGAUAUCUGUCGCGUCUUUCUGGUCCAGGUUAAGUAUAUCUGUCUCUCUGUCUGGUCAGUUUAUUAUAUUCUCCGCUCUGUCUGGUCAGUUUAUUAUCUGUCUCUCUGUCCGGUCAGUUUAUUAUAUCUCUCUCUCGCUCUGUCUGGUCAGUUUAUUAUAUCUCUCUCUCUGUCUGGUCAGUUUAUUAUAUCUCUUGGGGCCUGGUAGUUUAUUAUAUC